GCAUCAUUUUCCUCCUUGCGUCUCGCUCUAGAAGGAAAGAGAAAGGGAUUCAAGCGGCAGCGUGCAUUCCGCCCCAAGGGAGAAAAAUCAAGACGUUACACCCCACUCCUCCCGUUUUAAAUACUGAUUCAGCUCGGAGCUAGGCUGAAGGCACCGUCCAGCCUCCCUGGAAUGGUACUCAUCAGAUCUUGGAUUGAGGGAUG